rnacentral:tRNA from 1 species
GGUGGUGUGGCCGAGGGGCUAGGCAGAGGACUGCAAAUCCUUCUACGGGGGUUCAAAUCCCUCCACCACCUCCA